rnacentral:lncRNA from 1 species
GUUUCUUAGCCAUGGAUCAUGAGUAUGUUGUAUUGUUGUGGAAGCACAAUUUUAAACUGAGAUGUGGCAUGAAGCCCAGCACCUUGAUCUUGGACUUCGCAGCCUUCAGAACCGUGAGGAAGAAAUUUCUGUUUUUUAUGAAGUCACUCAGUCUGUUGUAUUCUAAACUCGAAGCACAAAAUAGACGUAAGUUCCAAACCAUUUUUGUACCCCAAAGGGAAACCAUACCCACUGAGAAGUUACUUCUUGGUCC